AUUGAACGCUGGCGGCAUGCUUUACACAUGCAAGUCGAACGGUAACAGGCCGCAUGGUGCUGCCAAGUGGCGAACGGGUGCGUAAUGCAUCGGAACGUGCCCAGUCGUGGGGGAUAACUACUCGAAAGAGUAGCUAAUACCGCACACGAUCUAUGGAUGACAGCGGGGGACCGUAAGGCCUCGCGCGAUUGGAGCGGCCGAUGUCAGAUGAGGUAGUUGGUGGGGUAAAGGCUCACCAAGCCAACGAUCUGUAGCUGGUCUGAGAGGACGAGCAGCCACACUGGGACUGAGACACGGCCCAGACUCCUACGGGAGGCAGCAGUGGGGAAUUUUGGACAAGGGGCGCAAGUCUGAUCCAGCAAUGCCGCGUGCAGGAAGAAGGCCUUCGGGGUGUAAACUGCUUUUGUACGGAACGAAACGGCUCUGGUUAAUACCCGGGGCUAAUGACGGUACCGUAAGAAUAAGCACCGGCUAACUACG
rnacentral:rRNA from 1 species